rnacentral:tRNA from 1 species
GCCUGGGUAGCUCAGUCCGUUAAGUGUCUGACUUCAGCUCAGGUCAUGAUCUCGCGGUUUGUGGGUUUGAGCCCCACAUUGGGCU